rnacentral:rRNA from 1 species
CAGGCUUAACACAUGCAAGUCGGGGGGCAGCAUCAUCAAAGCUUGCUUUGAUGGAUGGCGACCGGCGCACGGGUGAGUAACACGUAUCCAACCUGCCGACAACACUGGGAUAGCCUUUCGAAAGAAAGAUUAAUACCGGAUGGCAUAGUCUUCCCGCAUGGGAUUAUUAUUAAAGAAUUUCGGUUGUCGAUGGGGAUGCGUUCCAUUAGGCAGUUGGCGGGGUAACGGCCCACCAAACCUACGAUGGAUAGGGGUUCUGAGAGGAAGGUCCCCCACAUUGGAACUGAGACACGGUCCAAACUCCUACGGGAGGCAGCAGUGAGGAAUAUUGGUCAAUGGACGAGAGUCUGAACCAGCCAAGUAGCGUGAAGGAUGACUGCCCUAUGGGUUGUAAACUUCUUUUAUACGGGAAUAAAGUGAGCCACGUGUGGCUUUUUGUAUGUACCGUAUGAAUAAGGAUCGGCUAACUCCGUGCCAGCAGCCGCGGUAAUACGGAGGAUCCGAGCGUUAUCCGGAUUUAUUGGGUUUAAAGGGAGCGUAGGCGGGUUGUUAAGUCAGUUGUGAAAGUUUGCGGCUCAACCGUAAAAUUGCAGUUGAUACUGGCGACCUUGAGUGCAACAGAGGUAGGCGGAAUUCGUGGUGUAGCGGUGAAAUGCUUAGAUAUCACGAAGAACUCCGAUUGCGAAGGCAGCUUACUGGAUUGUAACUGACGCUGAUGCUCGAAAGUGUGGGUAUCAAACAGGAUUAGAUACCCUGGUAGUCCACACAGUAAACGAUGAAUACUCGCUGUUGGCGAUAUACAGUCAGAGGCCAAGCGAAAGCAUUAAGUAUUCCACCUGGGGAGUACGCCGGCAACGGUGAAACUCAAAGGAAUUGACGGGGGCCCGCACAAGCGGAGGAACAUGUGGUUUAAUUCGAUGAUACGCGAGGAACCUUACCCGGGCUUAAAUUGCAACUGACUGAACCGGAAACGGUUCUUUCUUCGGACAGUUGUGAAGGUGCUGCAUGGUUGUCGUCAGCUCGUGCCGUGAGGUGUCGGCUUAAGUGCCAUAACGAGCGCAACCCUUACGGGUAGUUACCAUCAGGUUAUGCUGGGGACUCUACCCGGACUGCCGUCGUAAGAUGUGAGGAAGGUGGGGAUGACGUCAAAUCAGCACGGCCCUUACGUCCGGGGCUACACACGUGUUACAAUGGGGGGUACAGAAGGCAGCUACACGGCGACGUGGUGCUAAUCCCGAAAGCCUCUCUCAGUUCGGAUUGGAGUCUGCAACCCGACUCCAUGAAGCUGGAUUCGCUAGUAAUCGCGCAUCAGCCACGGCGCGGCGAAUACGUUCCCGGGCCUUGUACACACCGCCCGUCAAGCCAUGAAAGCCGGGGGUACCUGAAGUACGUAACCGCGAGGAGCGUCCUAGGGUAAAACUGGUGAUUGGGGCUAAGUC